UGUCUAAUUCCUUUUUGGGGAAAGCUAAAUGUCACUCGAGCGUUUCUGGGUCUCUCCACACUCGAUUUUUCCUCCGUCCGAUCAGGCCAUCCGAUUGUCGUCGUCGUCUGAUGGUCUGACUCCUGUUGAUUCGUUUUUGUUUCUAUUUGAUGUGUGACAUGUGGGUCGUGACUUUUUGUAUAUUUCGGAUCGAUCUGUUCUGACCAGAAUCCAUCCACCAUUCCAACAUUUCCCCUUCGUUGAGCUCGUCCAGGUGCCGCGAUUUUGCUCUCCCCCUUUCUCCGAUCUCGUCCAGGGUUCUUGAGUUAUUCGAUUUUAUCCAGCCAUCAGAUUGACGGAUCAAUAUAGAGGGUUCCUUUUCAUUUGGUUUAGUGCUGAUUGGGCUCGCAUCUGAAUCUGAUCAAUAUUAUUAUUCUUCUAGCUCUUGUAUAUGAGUUACAUGUACCUGCUGUUGGAAUUACAGUCUAGAUACUUAUAAGUUACAGUUUCUGUACUGGUGUAAAUCAUGAAGAAUUGUCAUGUAAGUAGAGUGAUAGUAUAUAUCGUUUUAGUUUCUUUUUUUUUCACAUUUGCCUACAUAUUUAGUAUCUUUCUUAUAAUUGAUCUACUAAGAGUUUAAAUGCAUUUAUGUACAUGAAAGGUUAUUUAUCUCUUCAAUUUUGCAGAUAUGAUCUUUGCUUUAUGUUCCCUUCAACCAAUUAGCACCCCCAAGAUGUAUUUCCACUGAGCAUAUUUGUUUGAAAGGCACCAUCUUCUCAUCAGCAGGGAUAUCCGCAUGUUUGGCGUUGAGGAUGGCUCUCAGCAACGCCUUAGUAUAGUUUGGCAACAACAACCCAUGCCCAAUUAAACCGUUUCAGACUGGCAGUUCAAGCUCUUGAGAUAUAUAGUAUUUCUGCUUCUGCAAUGUGUCUGUUAUAUCUAUCAACUAUCAUAUGAAGUGAUACUAACACUAUGCCUUGAACUGCUACCUAUUAUAGUCGAACUAUCAUGUAGUAUUUUUGGCUGAAAAUUUGUGCAAAACUUUGUAUAUAUGCUCCUGUUAUGGCAUGAUCUACAAAGCCCAAUUGUUCAGGCAAGGCUAUAUUUUAAAGUUCAGGUUAUAUUUGACACA